rnacentral:misc_RNA from 1 species
GUGCCCACAAACCAUGAGAGAUACUGGUGCGGCCAACGGAUUUGCAGUAACCGCAAGAGCUCCGGCGGCGGCCGCAAUCCACCACGACGGUUUCCCCUCCGCUAUUGCUGCUACUGCUAAGUGCCAGCUUCGCUUCUUCUCAUCUUUCCUGCCAUUUCUCUCCUUCCUAUCUGUCUCUUCCCAUCGAAUUCUCCUUGUACCACCAACUCUUCAUCGACACCAGAUAAAAGCGAC